rnacentral:rRNA from 1 species
CCUACGGGUGGCUGCAGUGUGGAAUAUUGGUCAAUGGCCGGAAGGCUGAACCAGCCAUGCCGCGUGAAGGUCAGUGCCCUAUGGGCGUUAAACUUCUUUUGUGCGGGAGCAAUAAAGGUCACGUGUGGCCAGACGAGAGUACCGUACGAAUAAGCAUCGGCUAACUCCGUGCCAGCAGCCGCGGUAAUACGGGGGAUGCAAGCGUUAUCCGGAUUUAUUGGGUUUAAAGGGUGCGUAGGCUGUGAGGUAAGUCAGCGGUGAAAUGCCCCGCUCAACGGGGUGAAGGGCCUUUGAUACUGCCUUGCGGGAAGGCGAAGGCGGUGGGAGGAAUGUGUGGUGGAGCGGUGAAAUGCAUAGAUAUAACGCAGAACACCGAUGGCGAAGGCAUCUCACGAAGCCGAGAUUGACGCGGAGGCACGAAAGCGUGGGUAGCAAACAGGAUUAGAUACCCCAGUAGUC